rnacentral:lncRNA from 1 species
AGCUAAAAUUAAGCUAGUAAAAUAAACAUUGAAAUAAAAUAACCGUCACUUGCUUUAACAACCCCUGCAAUGAAAUUUAUCUACUAAACUUACCCUAUGUCGCCCAAACCCUAAAUUGAAAAAAACAAUUAGAACUAGGUAUAUGAAUUUUGCGGCAAAAUAUUAAAUUAUAUAAUUUAUCAAACCGACCGUGAAAAAAUAAAUUUUAGUGCGCCCAUGACAUGCCAAGCUCAAACAGCAAUGCUCAAUGACAUCUGAAUUUGACAAGUCAGUUAAAUUCAGAUGUCAAUGUCAACCCAACAAAACAAUAACAUAAUUCACCUUGAGAAAUUAUUAUUAUUUUUUAACUAAUAUUUAUUGGCAAACACAAAUUAUUUGCUAAAUAAAACUCAUGAAAAUCUCAUAACUUCAUUCAAGUUCACAUAUAUUUUGCUUGUGUGGCCUUUGUUUUGUGUACCUAGAAUGAUUACAAGGUAUGAUUUGUUUUCAUCCUGGUCAACAAUUUAACAGCUUUGGGACCCAUUUGUUGUAGGAGAAGAAUUGCAUGUUUUAACUGCUGAUUAGACUACACAACCAGAAAUAAAUAAGCUACAGGAAGUAUGUUAGGAUACCCCAGAGAUCAUGAAAUGUGUUUGAUAGGGCUCAGACCAUGCACUUAAGGACAUCCGUCAAGAAAUCAUUGAGAUUCUACCAUAUUGAUGAAAUUGCGAAACUAGGAGGAACUGCCUGUCUUUACUGUUGGUUAGAGUACACAGCCAGAAAUAAAUAAGCUACAGGAAGUGUGUUAGGAUUCCCCAGAGAUCAUGAAAUGUGUUUGAAGGGAUAUGAAUCAGCUUUUUUGUUAUCUUGAAUAGGCAAAAUGGCACGAGAAUCUUCCAACUGGACCCAAAGUCUCUAUUUUUGGUUAGAAAAUAAAACUUAUUUAAUGUUUAUGUUCCAUGACCUGUUUAUUGUUUUAUUAAAUUUUGUCAUACAGUUAUUUAGUUUUAAUAAUUAAAGAGAAAAUUGAUCUAUAGUAGAA